GUGGCAAUGACGGGUAACGGGGAAUUAGGGUUCGAUUCCGGAGAGGGAGCCUGAGAAACGGCUACCACAUCUAAGGAAGGCAGCAGGCGCGCAAAUUACCCAAUCCUAAUACAGGGAGGUAGUGACAAGAAAUAACAAUACAGGACUUUUUUAGUUUUGUAAUUGGAAUGAGUUAAGUAUAAACCCCUUUACAAGUAUCAAUUGGAGGGCAAGUCUGGUGCCAGCAGCCGCGGUAAUUCCAGCUCCAAUAGCGUAUAUUAAAGUUGUUGCAGUUAAAAAGCUCGUAGUUGGAUUUCUGUUAAUAAUUUAUAUAUAAUAUUUUUAAUAUUUAUAUAAUAUUAACAUAAUUCAUAUUACUAUAAUUUUUAUUAGUAUAUGAAAUUUUACUUUGAGAAAAUUAGAGUGCUUAAAGCAGGCAUAUGCCUUGAAUACUCCAGCAUGGAAUAAUAUAAAAGAUUUUUAUCUUUUUUAUUGGUUCUAAGAUAAAAAUAACGAUUA
rnacentral:rRNA from 1 species